AACCAUUUAGUAAUCGACGGCUAGACAAUCUAUUAUGUCGAAAUCCUGUCUCUAAAAUAGAAAGCACAAUUGUUUCUGACAUUGCAAGCAUCUAAAAUGGUUCAAUGUUAUGGAGAACCUGUAAAUAUUCCUCUAAAGAUACCAGGUACAAGACCAAAUAUCUCUACCUUUUUCACAGCCACAACACUGAAGUUCGGUGAAUACUUUAAUCGUUCACAAUCACUUCGUAAUCAUUGCUAUGAGUAUAAUUAAAGUCUGCAAACCUUGUUAAAUUGACAGAGAACAUUCUAGCAUCUAAACUAAAAAAAACAUUUUCCCAAGAGAAGAGACAUCGGGUUUCGAAAUCUUUCUCAUAAAGUUAACACAACAUAGAAAAACGAACAAUUUAUAAAGCUUCAUUUGUUACUUUAAAUGGAAGACACGCAGGGCAAAAACAGAAGAAAAUAAAGGUACAAGCUGGGAGAAAGAAGAAAUUUUAUCAAUCUUAUCACGUUUUUCAACAUUGAAAGAUAACAGAAUACAAAAUUAAAUUAAGAUGACUGAAUUGGAAAUGAAAAAAGAACAAAAAUAGCUCGUUCUCUAAAUGCAAAGACAAAAAUUGACAUAUUUUAUUUGACUUCCCCAUGUCAACCAUCAUAACAUCUGUCUAAACGCAAUAAGCAUGUCUUGUCAGAUUCACAUUGGCAAGAGUAUAUAAAGAGAGUUAGGAAGUGUGCUCUUCAAAACGUUAAAGACAAGUGAAGUGUAGAACAAAAUCCGAUUAGAAAACACACAUUUCAAAGGAGCUCUAUUCCGAAAAUUUGACAGGUCAAAAACACAAGAGUUAGGAAAAUAUGAAGAAGAUUCUAAUACUGGCUUUGCUUUUUGUGCUUUGUUCAACUAUGAAUUUUAUGGUCAAUGGAAUUGUAGUUAUUUCUCAACCAAAACCUCCAAGGCGUCGGAGAAGCCAAAAACCAUCACCACAAAGUAAACACUUAAAUAACAGAUCAAGAAAAGUAGAUCAUAAAAAUGUAAGAAGUGGAAAAAGAAAGAUUGGAGCCGACAGGAAGAAAAAGAUUCAUCAUGCAAUUGACUAAACAAUGAACAAUAAAGGUAUUCCAAUUUGGAUGUAGAAAUGCACAAUGUCAUGACAAAAAAAAACGAUUGGCUAAAGAAAUGCACGAUUUAUCACGACAUUACAGUUUUCUUGUAAACUGUAGUAAGAAACAAUUGAACGCGAUAGACUUUGUCCAAGAAUUAAAUACUUAAUAUUACAAACAAAAAGAGCGUGGUCUUUAAUCUUAUUGCAACUGGCAAUCCACAUACACAUGUCUAUAUUGAAACUUUUCUUUUUUAUCACGGUUUUCAUAGUUCUAGGUAACGUCAAUCAUCAUGUAUAAUCUAGGUCUGUUAGUGUUGAGAAUAUUAGCUUCCAACUGUACCUUCAGAAUAUUAAAUUUAGCUGUAAACGGAGCCGUGAAUCCUUGAUAGAUGUUAAUGCAGUAGUAACUAGCAUAACGAUGAUAUAAAUACGUGUAAAUAAUACACAGAAAAUAAACAAGCGAUAAUGGGAUCAACAAAA